GGACGCAUAGCUCAGUGGUAGAGCACUACCUUGACACGGUAGGGGCCACAGGUUCAAACCCUGUUGUGUCCA
rnacentral:tRNA from 1 species